rnacentral:rRNA from 1 species
GCUGGCGGCAGGCCUAACACAUGCAAGUCGAGCGGUAACAGAAAGAAAGCUUGCUUUCUUUGCUGACGAGCGGCGGACGGGCGAGUAAUGCCUGGGAAUAUGCCUUAGUGUGGGGGAUAACUAUUGGAAACGAUAGCUAAUACCGCAUAACGUCUUCGGACCAAAGAGGGGGACCUUCGGGCCUCUCGCGCUAAGAUUAGCCCAGGUGGGAUUAGCUAGUUGGUGAGGUAAAGGCUCACCAAGGCAACGAUCCCUAGCUGGUCUGAGAGGAUGAUCAGCCACACUGGAACUGAGACACGGUCCAGACUCCUACGGGAGGCAGCAGUGGGGAAUAUUGCACAAUGGGGGAAACCCUGAUGCAGCCAUGCCGCGUGUAUGAAGAAGGCCUUCGGGUUGUAAAGUACUUUCAGUCGUGAGGAAGGCAUUGUAGUUAAUAGCUGCAGUGCUUGACGUUAGCGACAGAAGAAGCACCGGCUAACUCCGUG